rnacentral:misc_RNA from 1 species
CUCUCUUGUGCCCUUCGCCAGCUUGACGAGUGCCGCCCCAGUGCCGUUCAGCGAGUAUACGUAUACAUACCACCAAUACCACCACCCACCCUCCCUCCCUCUCCUCCGCUCAACCUCCGCCUCUCGCCCUCGUGCUCACUGACGCACGCACGCACGCACGCACCCCAAAGCACAGCAAAAGACUACGGCGACCGAGAAAGCAGACAGAAAUGUACGCGGGCUUUCCGAGGCUAAACGUGACGGAGGCGCAGGAAGCCGUCGACCUCGACUUCGAGCUGACCAAUGAGAAGGGCUGCGUGAAGGUGACCGAGUUCCCGGUGCCGAAGGUCGUGAACUUGUCCUUUCCUGCCGUCUGCGCGCUGCUCUACAACGCCCGCACCGCGACGAGCAGCCGCAACAUCUUCGGCAGCGUUAUCGGUCUCCAGCUGCAGGAUACCGUCGAGGUGACGGACGUCAAAACAAACCCGUCCAUCGACAUCGAGGAGGAUGACCGCAUGACCGAGGAGGAGCGGAUGGAGCGGGUGCGUAAGGAGCGCAAGCUGCUGGACGCGGACAAGGCGAUCUUUGAGAACAUGUACAACCAGGAGAACCUCGACACGAACGUCAUUGGCCAAUUCGUCGUCUCCAGCGCCCGCUUCAACCCCUUCUCCACGCGCACGAUGCGCAAGUUACAGGAGCUGCACCGGGAGAGCCUGCCAGCGAUUCUGCUGACCUACGACCCCUUCCGCACGAGCCUGCUGGGCCGCCCGCACAUCCGCGCCUACACGCCGACGGCGGCCUACUACAAGUACGACUCGCUCGUGUCCACCGAGCGCGGCUACCAGCGUCGCCGUAGCUUGGCACAGUACGCCAAGGAGAGCGGCAUCACCAAGGAGGGCGUGCUCCACGAGAUUCCGGUAAAGCUGGAGGUGGAUGCCUUCCACAAGCUGAACCUGAUGAACGUGCCGCCGACCGCGGUCGGCGACUCCUUCAAGGCCAUCCAGAGUAUGGCUGUGAGCAACUACAUCGAGGCGCUACUUAGCUCGAUCCGCAACAACACGGAUCAGCUGAAGCAGAAACUCGACUACGAGGGUAACGUCAAGGACAACGGCAACGUGCCCGUCGGCCAGGAUGCGGAAACGAUGCUGCUCAUGAAGCACGUGCGCGACCAGACGGACCACCUCGAUGCGCUCUGUGAUAGCGCCCUGCUCUACUCUUCGUUGCUGCGAGACCUGUAGAAGGUGUGGGUGAGGGCAAGGAAUGCAGGAGAGACAGCUGCACUGUGAGGCGUCGCUGCUGACGUCAUCGAUCGUUUUUCGGAAUGCGUAUGCGUGCUGUGUACGCAUGUGCAUGCCGGGUGCACGCUGAUAUGGGCGCCUCUCUAGUCGUUGUUAAGUUACUUAAGAAGCCGGCUAGAGAAAAAGAUGAGACGCGCGCUUUUGCGGUUCCCCGCGUGGGUGCGCGCCCCUUCGCUUUUUUUUUUUCGCUUCGUCCGCCUCGGUGACGCCUAGGACGCAGCAGCGGCAGCAGGGGGCAGGCGCGCACGCAGCAGACAGAGCGUCCGGGCCCAUCCAUGCGCAUUGCACGCCUGCUCAUGCAGCGUGCGCCGUUGGAGUAAGAGGGAGUGUUCGAGCCUACGCUUUUUUUUUUGUGAACGCAUGCGUAUGUGCGUGUGUGUGUGUGUGUGCGUGUGCGUGUGCGUCUCUCUUUCUCUAUGAUGACUCGCUACCCUAAGCAAC